CCUAAGGUAGCGAAAUUCCUUGUCGGGUAAGUUCCGACCUGCACGAAUGGCGUAACGACUCCCCUGCUGUCUCAACCACAGGCCCGGUGAAAUUGCAGUACGAGUAAAGAUGCUCGUUACGCGCGGCAGGACGAAAAGACCCCGGGACCUUCACUAUAGCUUGGUAUUGGCAUUCGGUGCGGUUUGUGUAGGAUAGGUGGGAGACUAUGAUGCGGCCACGCUAGUGGUUGUGGAGUCGUUGUUGAAAUACCACUCUGACCGUAGUGGAUGUCUAACCUUGGCCCAUGAUCUGGGUUGGGGACAGUGCCUGGUGGGUAGUUUAACUGGGGCGGUUGCCUCCCAAAAUGUAACGGAGGCGCCCAAAGGUUCCCUCAGCCUGGUUGGUAAUCAGGUGGUGAGUGUAAGUGCACAAGGGGGCUUGACUGUGAGACUGACAGGUCGAGCAGGGACGAAAGUCGGGACUAGUGAUCCGGCACCUACUUGUGGAUGUGGUGUCGCUCAACGGAUAAAAGGUACCCCGGGGAUAACAGGCUGAUCUUCCCCAAGAGUCCAUAUCGACGGGAUGGUUUGGCACCUCGAUGUCGGCUCGUCGCAUCCUGGGGCUGGAGUAGGUCCCAAGGGUUGGGCUGUUCGCCCAUUAAAGCGGCACGCGAGCUGGGUUUAGAACGUCGUGAGACAGUUCGGUCUCUAUCCGCCGCGCGCGUAGAAACUUGAGGAAGGCUGUCCCUAGUACGAGAGGACCGGGAUGGACGUACCUCUGGUGUGCCAGUUGUCCCGCCUGGGGCAUGGCUGGUUGGCUACGUACGGAAGGGAUAACCGCUGAAAGCAUCUAAGCGGGAAGCCUGUUCCAAGAUUAGGUUUCUUUUGAGGUCCCCUAUAGAUGAUGGGGUUGAUAGGCCGGAUCUGGAAGCAUCGUAAGGUGUGGAGGUGACCGGUACUAAUAGACCAAACAUUCAACACA
rnacentral:rRNA from 1 species